rnacentral:misc_RNA from 1 species
AUGAUUCCGGUUGCCUUCAGUGCUGGCUCCUUCAAGAGCAAGUGCACGUUGGUGGCUUUCAUCCAAUUAACCCCAUGUGAACCUUUGGCCUCUUGCUAGCUUCGGCUGGCAAAGGUAUUUUUUAUACACACACUCGAAUGUAAUGAGAAAACUAUUGUCGUGCGCAAGCACUAAUGUA